AUUGAACGCUGGCGGCAUGCCUUACACAUGCAAAUCGAACGGUAACGGGCCUUCGGGUGCCGACGAGUGGCGAACGGGUGAGUAAUACAUCGGAACGUGCCCGAUCGUGGGGGAUAACGAGGCGAAAGCUUUGCUAAUACCGCAUACGAUCUACGGAUGAAAGCAGGGGACCGCAAGGCCUUGCGCGGACGGAGCGGCCGAUGGCAGAUUAGGUAGUUGGUGGGAUAAAAGCUUACCAAGCCGACGAUCUGUAGCUGGUCUGAGAGGAUGAUCAGCCACACUGGGACUGAGACACGGCCCAGACUCCUACGGGAGGCAGCAGUGGGGAAUUUUGGACAAUGGGCGCAAGCCUAAUCCAGCCAUGCCGCGUGCAGGAUGAAGGCCUUCGGGUUGUAAACUGAUUUUGUACGGAACGAAAAGCCUUCUUUUAAUACAGGAGGGUCAUGACGGUACCGUAAGAAUAAGCACCGGCUAACUACGUG
rnacentral:rRNA from 1 species